UUGAGUUUGGAGGAUGGAAAACAGAAACUAGAGCCAUUUAGUUUAGACAUGACUUAGUUUUCAUAACACAAUACUCAUAACUCAUAAUUCUAACUCAAAUCUCAUGACUCAUAACCCAAGCCGCACUAUCACUCAAAAAUUCCAAAAUUGUUGUUUAGUUACAAAACUCAAUCACAUAUUAACUUUUAAGAUUACUUUUAGCAAAAAAUUUUAUUGUUUUCAAAAGUUGAAAACUGAAGGGUUGUUUGGUUUUGUAAUUUUCCAUCCUUCGUAAUUCUGUUUUUAUCACUCAUACCUCAAAAUUAGUGGAUCCCAUAGUUUAAUAGUGUGUUUAGAUGCGUUUUUCAGUUUUUGUUUUCAUCAUUCAAAUAUCUGAUUUUAAAACAAUUGGUUAUGAAAAUUGAAAAUAAAUUUGAGGUGUUUUCAAAAAGUCAUCAAAACUGAAUUUUCAUGGCUUUAUGGUAAAUAAACACACAUACAUAGGUCCCACGGUCAGAGAAAAGUCACGCGGGCGCUGCUUUCGACAAAUCUCUUCAACGGCUCUCUUCACAUAAAGCAGAUCACACUUCCUUAGAAGCCUCUGCCUGCCCUCACCCAUUCACGCACGCAGUCACCGAUCUCCUGCUCAGGCAACCCGCGCCGCUGGGUCACGAUCACGCCGUUCUUCACGCGCCAAAGGCACCGAUCUCCCCCCCCUCCACCUCUUUCUUCAGUUUUUUCACAGAAAUCGGAAGAUUGAGAUUAUCAAUGACGAUGAUGAUGAUCAAUGCUGGUAUAUUUGAUGUUUUCUAUUUGGUGCCAAAUGGAGUCUUUGAACCUUGUAUGCUUUGAGAUGUUCAGUUGAUCAUUUAUGUGUAUUUGGCUUUCCAUUGAA